rnacentral:rRNA from 1 species
GACGAACGCUGGCGGCGUGCUUAACACAUGCAAGUCGAACGGAAAGGCCCUGCUUUUGUGGGGUGCUCGAGUGGCGAACGGGUGAGUAACACGUGAGUAACCUGCCCUUGACUUUGGGAUAACUUCAGGAAACUGGGGCUAAUACCGGAUAGGAGCUCCUGCUGCAUGGUGGGGGUUGGAAAGUUUCGGCGGUUAGGGAUGGACUCGCGGCUUAUCAGCUUGUUGGUGGGGUAGUGGCUUACCAAGGCUUUGACGGGUAGCCGGCCUGAGAGGGUGACCGGCCACAUUGGGCCUGAGAUACGGCCCAGACUCCUACGGGAGGCAGCAGUGGGGAAUAUUGCACAAUGGGCGGAAGCCUGAUGCAGCAACGCCGCGUGCGGGAUGACGGCCUUCGGGUUGUAAACCGCUUUCGCCCGUGACGAAGCGUGAGUGACGGUAAUGGGUAAAGAAGCACCGGCUAACUACGUG